rnacentral:rRNA from 1 species
ACGGAAGGCAGCAGUAAGGAGUUUUCGGCAAUGGGGGAAACCCUGACCGAGCAACGCCGCGUGAGCGAUGACGGCCCUAUGGGUUGUAAAGCUCUGUUGUAAGCCAAGAAUGGUAGUGCUAGGAAAUGAGCAUUACUUGACGGUAGCUUACCAGAAAGCCACGGCUAACUACGUGCCAGCAGCCGCGGUAAUACGUAGGUGGCAAGCGUUAUCCGGAAUUAUUGGGCGUAAAGAGUGAGCAGGCGGUUGGUCAAGUCUGAGGUUAAAGCGUGGAGCUCAACUCCAUAAAGCCUUGGAAACUAAUCAACUAGAGUACGGGAGAAGUAAGUGGAACUCCAUGUGUAGCGGUGAAAUGCGUAGAUAUAUGGAAGAACACCAGUGGCGAAGGCGACUUACUAGCCCGAAACUGACGCUCAGUCACGAAAGCGUGGGUAGCAAAUAGGAUUAGAUACCCUGGUA